UUGAACGCUGGCGGAAUGCUUUACACAUGCAAGUCGAACGGCAGCACGGGGGCAACCCUGGUGGCGAGUGGCGAACGGGUGAGUAAUACAUCGGAACGUGCCCAGUCGUGGGGGAUAACGCAGCGAAAGCUGUGCUAAUACCGCAUACGAUCUAAGGAUGAAAGCGGGGGACCGUAAGGCCUCGCGCGAUUGGAGCGGCCGAUGGCAGAUUAGGUAGUUGGUGGGGUAAAGGCNCACCAAGCCGACGAUCUGUAGCUGGUCUGAGAGGACGACCAGCCACACUGGGACUGAGACACGGCCCAGACUCCUACGGGAGGCAGCAGUGGGGAAUUUUGGACAAUGGGCGCAAGCCUGAUCCAGCCAUUCCGCGUGCAGGAUGAAGGCCCUCGGG
rnacentral:rRNA from 1 species